rnacentral:lncRNA from 1 species
AUGGAAGAGGAGCCUGCAGCCCGGCUGAGGACGCGGCGCCGGUCGGGUCCAUGUGCUCAGGUGGGUUCUUUGGAGAACAAGCACGAGACAGACAGCGGUGACCGUGAGGUAAGAGCGUCUACAACCUGUGCUCCACACGUGGGUCUGUCAGCCACAGCCUGCAGCAGUGACGAAGCCGGUCCAGCGGGUGCAGGUCCUCCUGCUCCUCCUGGUGCAGGUCCUCCUGCUCCUGGUGCAGGUCCUCCUGCUCCUCCUGGUGCAGGUCCUCCUGCUCCUGGUGCAGGUCCUCCUGCUCCUCCUGGGCCCAGGUCCUCCUGCUCCUCCUGGGCCCAGGUCCUCCUGCUCCUCCUGGGCCCAGGUCCUCCUGCUCCUCCUGGUGCAGGUCCUCCUGCUCCUCCUGGUCCAGGUCCUCCUGCUCCUCCUGGGUGCAGGUCCUCCUGCUCCUGGGUGCAGGUCCUCCUGCUCCUGGGUGCAGGUCCUCCCGCUCCUCCUGGGCCCAGGUCCUCCUGCUCCUCCUGGGCCCAGGUCCUCCUGCUCCUCCUGGGUCCAGGUCCUCCUGCUCCUGGUGCAGGUCCUCCUGCUCCUCCUGGUGCAGGUCCUCCUGCUCCUCCUGGGUCCAGGUCCUCCUGCUCCUCCUGGUGCAGGUCCUCCUGCUCCUCCUGGUGCAGGUCCUCCUGCUCCUGGUGCAGGUCCUCCUGCUCCUCCUGGUGCAGGUCCUCCUGCUCCUCCUGGUGCAGGUCCUGCUGCUCCUGGGUGCAGGUCCUCCUGCUCCUCCUGGUGCAGGUCCUCCUGCUCCUCCUGGGCCCAGGUCCUCCUGCUCCUCCUGGGUCCAGGUCCUCCUGCUCCUGAUGCAGGUCCUCCUGCUCCUCCUGGUGCAGGUCCUCCUGCUCCUGGUGCAGGUCCUCCUGCUCUUCCUGGGUCCAGGUCCUCCUGCUCCUCCUGGUGCAGGUCCUCCUGCUCCUCCUGGUCCAGGUCCUCCUGCUCCUCCUGGUGCAGGUCCUCCCAGUUAGCGGUUCAGUGCGGAGCCUCGGCGCCUCAGGCUGAUGGGAAAGAAUGAGAGGAAUCUGCAUGUGAUGGAGCCCCGCGUCCUCUCAGGUGGCGGCUGUCGGCUGCUCAGUAGGCAGUGUAGAUCCUGUGUAGAAAUCAGCAGCUACAUCUGGCUACUGGGUCUCUGACGGUGCGGCCGGGUCCGGCUGGGCCCCACACCGGAUGCUCUGUCUCUCUGUUGCGUUGCUUUGUCCUGAACCUGGCAUACAAUGUAGAUUUCUGUGUGCUUUAGUUUACAGCUACAUUGUCUGCUGGGUUUCUGGCCAGCAAAACGAGCCGGCGCCGCAGGAGCUCCACGUCCAAGUCCCGACCCGGCAGUUCAAUGACAGCAAAAGCUGUCAAUCGACUCCACCGGUCACAUGAAUCACAUGUGAAGGAAAGAGGCAAAAGAGAAUGUGCCAAAUGUAAGUUGCUUCAGCGCUGCCUGAGCGUCCAGGAGUUAACGCUGCUGCAGGAGCUGUCAGCCUCCGUCUGGGAUCCUCCACCACACGGAGCGACGCCGGCCUCUGGGCCCUUUACACAAUAAACAAGGGUCUCAGUGGAGGGAGCA